rnacentral:lncRNA from 1 species
CAAACACUUAUAAUUAACCCUAAAAAUCACUAUAAAACCUAGCCAUCAUUCGUGCAAUUCCUCAACAGCCAAAAAAACAUAUAGAACUCAUAGUCACUAAUUUCCUUGAGCAUCCAAUAUGCAGCCACCUUCAAGUUCCCCUUCACUAAAGCUCUUUUAUAGCCAUUAGAGUUUCACCUUGAAGCUCUAAUUGAGCUGAGCUAAGCAACAUCUCAGUAGAAGCAAUAUACAGACAUAUUCAGAAGAAGCAGAAAGAAGGAGAAAAGGUACACAAGAGUGGAAAGAAGAAAAAUAAGUAGAAAGAAUGAGAAGAAUACACAUGAGUGGAAAAAAAGCAUUACCUGAGAUAUCAAGCUUGUCGGAAGUUGGAGCUCCUCACCGGAAAAUUUCCAGCUUCGAUUUGGUAUCUCUGUUACCUUUUGUGGUUUUCUCUUCAUGUUUUCUUGUUGGCAUGUGUGGUAUAACCAUUUUUCAUAGGAUAAUUUUUAGUAACUUUUAUUUGUUUGUAUGGAUUGAAUAGUUGGGGGAGGGGUUUACGGUUUAUACGGAUUUGCUUUGAUUUAGUAUGAUUAAUAUUUUGGUUUUUUAUUUUUGAUCUUAUAUUCGUGUUUAGAGUGUAAAGUUAGGUGGGGUUGGUGUUAGGAUUUUGUUGAUUCGAGUGGGUUUUGUGCAUUUAUAGUUUUAAUACUUAAGAACACUCAAAGUGUUAUUGCGUACUCUUGAUGAACAUUCAUAAGAAUCUAGGAAAAAGGGGUGUUAGAUCUUAUAGAGAGAAAAAUUGUGAGUGUUUAUUAUUUUCAGAGACAGUAGAGGGAAGAGAGAGGGAGAGGGAGAAAUAUCUAUAUAAAGACUUGAUAGAUAUCAAGUUAAUUUUCAAAACAAAAAAAUUUCAUCAUUCCUUCAUCGAAUUCAGAACCAUUUCAUAAUCAAAUCAAUUUCAUACAAAUGCGAAUCAAACACUUGAUCAACAUCAAAUAUUUUGCGAACUUAAUCAAGAACACUUCAAAAACUUCUUUCA